rnacentral:rRNA from 1 species
UACAGAGGUCUCAAGCGUUUGUUCGGAUUCAUUGGGCGUAAAGGGUGCGUAGGUGGCGCCGUAAGUCGGGUGUGAAAUUUCGGAGCUUAACUCCGAAACUGCAUUCGAUACUGCGUGGCUAGAGUGCUGGAGGGGAGACUGGAAUUUACGGUGUAGCAGUGAAAUGCGUAGAUAUGCGGAGGAACACCGAGUGGCGAAGGCAAUCCCCUGGGCCUGCACAUGGACGCUCGAUGCACGAAAGCGUGGGGAGCAAACAGG